rnacentral:rRNA from 1 species
UACGUAGGGCGCAAGCGUUAUCCGGAAUUAUUGGGCGUAAAGAGCUCGUAGGCGGUGUGUCGCGUCGGCCGUGAAAACCUGCAGCUUAACUGUGGGCUUGCGGUCGAUACGGGCAUCACUGGAGUUCGGCAGGGGAGACUGGAAUUCCUGGUGUAGCGGUGAAAUGCGUAGAUAUCCGGAGGAACACCGGUGGCGAAGGCGGCUCCUGGACCGAUCAUGACGCUGAGGCGCCGAAAGCUAGGGGAGCAAAGCGGG